GACGAACUUUGGCGGCGUGCUUAACACAUGCAAGUCGAACGGAAAGGCCCUGCUUUUGUGGGGUGCUCGAGUGGCGAACGGGUGAGUAACACGUGAGUAACCUGCCCUUGACUUUGGGAUAACUUCAGGAAACUGGGGCUAAUACCGGAUAGGAGCUCCUGCUGCAUGGUGGGGGUUGGAAAGUUUCGGCGGUUGGGGAUGGACUCGCGGCUUAUCAGCUUGUUGGUGGGGUAGUGGCUUACCAAGGCUUUGACGGGUAGCCGGCCUGAGAGGGUGACCGGCCACAUUGGGACUGAGAUACGGCCCAGACUCCUACGGGAGGCAGCAGUGGGGAAUAUUGCACAAUGGGCGGAAGCCUGAUGCAGCAACGCCGCGUGCGGGAUGACGGCCUUCGGGUUGUAAACCGCUUUCGCCUGUGACGAAGCGUGAGUGACGGUAAUGGGUAAAGAAGCACCGGCUAACUACGUGCCAGCAGCCGCGGUGAUACGUAGGGUGCGAGCGUUGUCCGGAUUUAUUGGGCGUAAAGGGCUCGUAGGUGGUUGAUCGCGUCGGAAGUGUAAUCUUGGGGCUUAACCCUGAGCGUGCUUUCGAUACGGGUUGACUUGAGGAAGGUAGGGGAGAAUGGAAUUCCUGGUGGAGCGGUGGAAUGCGCAGAUAUCAGGAGGAACACCAGUGGCGAAGGCGGUUCUCUGGGCCUUUCCUGACGCUGAGGAGCGAAAGCGUGGGGAGCGAACAGGCUUAGAUACCCUGGUAGUCCACGCUGUAAACGGUGGGUACUAGGUGUGGGGUCCAUUCCACGGGUUCCGUGCCGUAGCUAACGCUUUAAGUACCCCGCCUGGGGAGUACGGCCGCAAGGCUAAAACUCAAAGGAAUUGACGGGGCCCCGCACAAGCGGCGGAGCAUGCGGAUUAAUUCGAUGCAACGCGUAGAACCUUACCUGGGUUUGACAUGGAUCGGGAGUGCUCAGAGAUGGGUGUGCCUCUUUUGGGGUCGGUUCACAGGUGGUGCAUGCCUGUCGUCAGCUCGUGUCGUGAGAUGUUGGGUUAAGUCCCGCAACGAGCGCAACCCUUGUUCACUGUUGCCAGCACGUUAUGGUGGGGACUCAGUGGAGACCGCCGGGGUCAACUCGGAGGAAGGUGGGGAUGACGUCAAGUCCUCAUGCCCCUUAUGUCCAGGGCUUCACGCAUGCUACAAUGGCUGGUACAGAGAGUGGCGAGCCUGUGAGGGUGAGCGAAUCUCGGAAAGCCGGUCUCAGUUCGGAUUGGGGUCUGCAACUCGACCUCAUGAAGUCGGAGUCGCUAGUAAUCGCAAAUCAGCAACGCUGCGGUGAAUACGUUCCCGGGGC
rnacentral:rRNA from 1 species